GACGAACGCUGGCGGCGUGCUUAACACAUGCAAGUCGAACGGUAAGGCCCUGUUUAUGUGGGGUGCUCGAGUGGCGAACGGGUGAGUAACACGUGAGUAACCUGCCAUUGACUUUGGGAUAAUUACAGGAAACUGGGGCUAAUAACGGAUAGGAGCACCUGCUGCAUGGUGGGGGUAGGAAAGUUUCGGCGGUUGGGGAUGGACCCGCGGCUUAUCAGCUUGUUGGUGGGGUAGAGGCUUACCAAGGCUUUGACGGGUAGCCGGCCUGAGAGGGUGACCAGCCACAUUGGGACUGAGAUACGGCCCAGACUCCUACGGGAGGCAGCAGUGGGGAAUAUUGCAGAAUGGGCGGAAGCCUAAUGCAGCAACGCCGCGUGCGGGAUGACGGCCUUCGGGUUGUAAACCGUUUUCGCCUGUGACGAAGCGUGAGUGACGGUAAUGGGUAAAGAAGCACCGGCUAACUACGUG
rnacentral:rRNA from 1 species